rnacentral:ncRNA from 1 species
CUCUGGCCCGCAUUUCAUGGGCACAGGGCGCGAAAGAG